rnacentral:siRNA from 1 species
CCCUUGUUGUUAGUUGUCUAGUGC